AGCAGCCGCCACGGGAACACGGAGGGAGCUAGCGUUGUUCGGAAUUACUGGGCGUAAAGCGUGCGUAGGUGGUGGUUUAAGUCCGUUGUGAAAGCCCUGGGCUCAACCUGGGAAUUGCAGUGGAUACUGGGUCACUAGAGUGUGGCAGAGGAUGGUGGAAUUCCCGGUGUAGCGGUAAAAUGCGUAGAGAUCGGUAGGAACAUCAGUGGCGAAGGCGGCCAUCUGGGACAACACUGACGCUGAGGCACGAAAGCGUGGGGAGCAAACAGGAUUAGAGACCCCCGUAGUCCCUGUCUCUUAUAC
rnacentral:rRNA from 1 species